rnacentral:piRNA from 1 species
UGAAUCUCAGACAGGACCUUGAACUUUGGU